rnacentral:rRNA from 1 species
UAUUUUUAGUGGCAAACGGGUGAGUAAUGCAUAGGAAUCUGCCUUGUAGUGGGGGAUAACAGUUGGAAACGAUUGCUAAUACCGCGUAAUACCAUUUAUGGGAAAGGCAUCGGUCGCUAUAAGAUGAGCCUAUGUCUGAUUAGUUUGUUGGUGGGGUAAUGGCUUACCAAGACGAUGAUCAGUAGCCGGUCUGAGAGGACGAUCGGCCACACUGGAACUGAGACACGGUCCAGACUCCUACGGGAGGCAGCAGUGGGGAAUAUUGGGCAAUGGACGAAAGUCUGACCCAGCAACGCCGCGUGGUGGAUGAAGGCCUUAGGGUUGUAAACACCUUUUAUUAGGGAAGAUAAUGACGGUACCUAAUGAAUAAGCAUCGGCUAACUUCGUGCCAGCAGCCGCGGUAAUACGAAGGAUGCUAGCGUUACUCGGAAUUACUGGGCGUAAAGAAUGCGU